GGGGCUGUAGCUCAGUGGCAGAGCACUUGCCUAGCAUACAUGAGGCGCUGGGUUCGAUCCUCAGCAUCACAU
rnacentral:tRNA from 1 species